UACGUAGGCAGCAAGCGUUGUUCGGAGUUACUGGGCGUAAAGAGUGCGUAGGUGGUGCCCUAAGUCUGUUGUGAAAUCUCCCGGCUUAACUGGGAGGGUGCGGUGGAAACUGGGGUGCUUGAGUGUGGGAGAGGUAAGCGGAAUUCCUGGUGUAGCGGUGAAAUGCGUAGAUAUCAGAAGGAACGCCGGUGGCGAAAGCGACGCACUGGAUCUCUACUGACGCUGAGGCGCGAAAGCCAGGGGAGCGAACGGG
rnacentral:rRNA from 1 species